rnacentral:rRNA from 1 species
CACGUAGGUGGAUUGGUAAGUUAGGGUGAAAUCCCGGAGCUCAACUCCGGAACUGCCUUUGAUACUGCCAGUCUAGAGUUUGGAAGAGGUAAGUGGAAUUCCGAGUGUAGAGGUGAAAUUCGUAGAUAUUCGGAGGAACACCAGUGGCGAAGGCGGCUUACUGGUCCAAUACUGACACUGAGGUGCGAAAGCGUGGGGAGCAAACA